UCUACAAUUUCCAUGGAGGUGAUUGAUGAUGAUAAACAAUUGGUGAAGUAGGCCUAAUAGAACAGUGAUAGGACCACAAAGAGAAAUACAACCUACAGCAGUUAUAUGAGACUGGUGUAACAGAUGUUUUCAUUCAAGAAACCCAACAAAUUGAAAAGUGACUUAGCUUAGGAAGCACUUGAUAAAGAUGGAAAAGGUUUUUUUUUUUUCAAGUCCAAUUUUUUUUUUUUUAAUUAUCAUCACAACCCCAAAUUCAUGAAGUAUGAAAUUUCCUGUCGAUUUUCAUUAAAACUGGUUGCAAAAGGAAAAGCUAUAAACAUACAAAUAGGAGCGGCGAAGUGAAGUUGAAAGUGGGGGGGGGGCACAGGGAAAAUGCUGUAUUAUGUGAAAUUUUAAAGAAGUUGCGAGAGAGCAAAAUUUUGACAUUUUAAAAAAGAAAAUCCAAUUUUUUGUGAUAGAUUUCGACAAAAUAUUCAGAAUGAUAUUUCACCCUUUUUUUGGGGGGGGGGGGGCAAGAUUCCUUCAAGCCCCCCCCCCCCCCUCCAUCUGUAGUGUACGAAACUGCUUAUCUACCCCCACUCACAUGAAUUAUUAAACUUAAUGCACAAAGGAUUUCCUUAUUGUUUUCUUGUUUCAAAGGGCACUCGUCACUCUUUAGGAGCACUUUUCUUGGGUAAAAGGGGGCAGUUAUUCGAGAAAGGGCACUUACAAGAAGGCGAGGGGUACUUUUUAACACUUAAAACGGGCCCUCAGAUGAAAGGGCACAGAACACGUUCGGGGGGCAUUUUUUGGUAAAAAUUUGCACACAAGGAAGAGCACUUGGUAACACCUAAAACAGGUUCUCGUCAGGUGAAAGGGACACAGUUCACGUUCGUGAGGGGGCAUUUUUCUUACAUAAAAUUAAAGGCACUUUUCAGUGCUUCAAAAAGUAGGGGGAACUGUGCCACCCAGGAUCGCUGCCCCUGUAUACAAAAAACAUUUUUGUUCGAUUCAAAGUAUUAACAUACGCUUAAGAAAAAAAGUAAGGCUAAAUCCUCUGAUAAUGUGAUAUUUUUUCUGGCUAUUAAUAAAAUUCACAACUAACCAGAAAAUGCCUUCAUGUCUUUCAUUUGUAUUCAUAUAGUAUUUGUACAGAGCUAAAAUGAAAGGGAUUUGGAAUUGGCAAAAUUCAAAUGAGAUGGAGAUCGAGAGAGAGAAAGAGUGAUGAGAAGGGCCGAGGGUUGAAAAGAGAUGAGAAAGAAAUGGAGGGGCACAUAUGAAGAGAUAAUUUAGAGGGGGGGGGGGGGUAAGAGAGCACGAAUGGUGGGAAGUAGGAACAAAGGGGUGGAAGAGAAAUAAGACGAGAUUUAUGGAAACCAGGAGACAGAUAACAAGUGGGAAAAGAAGAAGGAAAUAUAUAUAUGUAGCUAGGAGAAAGGCGGCACCAAAAUAACGUGAGUGGGAAAAUUAUUAAAUGGAAAAACAGAGCAAGAAAUGCUGGAGAAUAGAGGGGACAGGAAACGUAUUAAACAUGAUAAACUGGGGCCCGUUUCAUCAUGAGUUACAAGUAUGGUAAUUAUGAUUGGUUAUAUAUAGCCGUUACCAUCGUAGUUAACUACGAUGGUAACUGCUAUAACCAAUCAUAAUCUAGGUUACCACGGUAAUCACAAUAACAGCGAUGUUUAAAUAGCUGUAAUUCAUUAUGAAACGGACGCCAGAUGAAGAAAACAGGCACGGGGAUCCUUGAGGGCCGGGGCCGGCCCCUUACGUAUUAUACCUUGAACAAAAGAUUUUUUUUUUGCUUCUCGAAAUUUGUAACAAGAAAUGUACUCUAUUAGUGGUGACAGUUAUUUUUUUCAGUAACCAUACUCAACCAGUGAAAAUUACCAUCAAAUUGUAAUAACCAUGUUCUGCCCCCACCCGCCCCCCCCCC